UUGCAGGGAUGGGAAGGCUGAGGGGGGUGGAUGGGAGGGGCAAAGGGAUGGGAAGGCUGGGGAAAGGAUGUGGGGGGCUGAGGGGAUGAGAACGCUAGGGGGAAGGCUGGGUGGGGCUGGAAAGGCCGGGGGGGAGGCAUGUGUGGGGCUGAGGGGACGGGAAGGCCCUGUUGUGAGUUCCUGAGGACUGUGACAUACAAUGUAAGAGACCUGGGGAAAUACCAUCCUGAAAGAAACAAAGCCAAAAAAAUCCUACAUCCGUUUAUUUCUUUCUACUGAAAAAUACUUCAGACUGUAUCUAUGUACACAAGCCAUGUGCCGGAGGAUGCUGUCCCCUCACCUCUCCCAGCUUUGCACCACAGCAAUUCAGCAGGU